GUGUCAGCAGCCGCGGUAAUACGGAAGGUGCAAGCGUUAAUCGGAAUUACUGGGCGUAAAGCGCGCGUAGGCGGCUUGGUAAGUCGGAUGUGAAAGCCCCGGGCUCAACCUGGGAACUGCAUUCGAUACUGCCGGGCUGGAGUACGAGAGAGGGGGGUGGAAUUCCAGGUGUAGCGGUGAAAUGCGUAGAGAUCUGGAGGAACACCAGUGGCGAAGGCGGCCCCCUGGUUCGAUACUGACGCUGAGGUGCGAAAGCGUGGGGAGCAAACAGGAUUAGAUACCCUCGUAGUCC
rnacentral:rRNA from 1 species